rnacentral:lncRNA from 1 species
CAGGAAAGAACAAAUUCAAAUAUGCAAGCAAGGGCACCAUUUUCACUCAUAGUAACAUGUUGGCUUUGGUGGACCAGAAAGCUGGCAGCAAGAGACUGCUGGAGCCAUUUGCUACUAUUUCUUCCUCUCUAAUGCACCCUUCUGUCCUUUCACUGAUGACUACUGAGAGGUUUGGGGGAAAGAGAACCAAUUACAGAAUGCCAAUGCAUGUUCCAAAAUCCACUCAAGGGACUUACAUCUGGCAGAGUCUACUAUAUAUGGUGAUAAAUAUUGGUAUCUAAGAAAAAAAAGACAACAGUUCUUUCUCUGGAGGUGGACAUACACAAGUUAUUCUUCAAAUAAUAUUGCUAUUGCUGUAUAUAAUGUCUCAGUUCUGAUCAUUUCACUCUUCAUAAUUUCACAUAGAUCUUCUCAUGUUUUUUUAUUAUUAACUUGCCCAU